CCCAGGCCCCGCCUCCUAAAGCCCGACACUCUCACCUGUCAGUGAGAUCAGCAGGCAGCAGCCACAGACCCGUGCAGGCAGUGCACUGGCCAGCCCUCCCCUCUCCUCCAGCGUCCACUCUCUCCUCACUCCGGGUCCUGACUGAGCCUGACACACACAAGCUCCGCCCCCAGACUGUAACUACACGAGCAUGUAGUUGCUGCUGAUCUGAUGUUGCUGCAUGAUGUCAGGGAGACAUGUACUAAGCAGUGAUAAAAGUGAAGAAGUGAGCCAGUGAAGAAGUUGCCCAUGUCAACCAAUUCCAUACGUAUUAAAAUAACAGAAACGUAUUGAAUAAAAAGAGAACUCAUUGCCUUUCUGCACAUAUCGCUGAAAGGAUGAGAAAGUCGCAUUGCAGUUGUAGAGCAAAGGCAGUAACAGUGGGCCAGAGAGAUGCUGUGCUGCGACUUCAACCACAGAGGAAUUCAUUUGAAAUAUGUAUAAAGUUGCAGAUGAAGCACUAUUGAACAAGAUACCCAUUGUCCUGAGGAUUCCAGGAUUAGAGAGGAGUAGCGGAUCCAAAUAUAUAUACUGUGGUCCUCGUGCUUUUUCAUAAACUGGAUUGAUGAGUACUAACUCUUUUUUGGACUGAGAAUUCAGUGUUUUAUACUGAAUGUUUGGUACAGAGGUAUGCUGAACAGAGCACCCCUAGAUUAACAGAGCACUCCUGGUUGACACAGUAGCCCCUGUAUGAACGGACACAGCACAGACAGAGCACCUCUCGUGGUCACAGCAGCACCCCUAGUCAGACACAGUAGGCACAGCCCCCCAGAUGGACAACAGAUCAGCACCCCUGGUUGGAAACAGCAGCCUCAGCCUCUUGAUGGACAACACUGCAGCAUCCCUGGAUGGAGAAUACAGCAGCUCUUAAUGGACACUGCAUGGACACAUCUGCUCACUAUAAGCUCCUCAGCCAGGAGUAAAGAUGGCAGGAUCACCAGGGACGUUUAUAGAAUUCAAAAUCUGCGAGAAUCUGACAGAGGGAGGAUGACGUUUUCCUAAUUUUGUGACCCAAGUAGUCAGGCGGGAUAACCCAAGCUGUACUCAAAUCCCGAUCUGGAUCUGGAAGUUCGAAUGGGUCCAGUUCCCACUCAUCUCUGUUCACAAUACACAACCCCCCUUCCCCUUACUCUAGCUCUACUUACAUUUCAAAUCAGGAGCCAGAGACAGGUUGGGUUAAGAAUCUUACUAAUUUGUAAGUUUGUGUAAAUGACUGCCAAAUGUAAAAAGAAAAUCCAGAAUGCAUGUGAUUGGCUUUCAACUGUAAGUAUGAUGUAAGGCUGAUCUGAGCAUGUUCCCUGCAUACUGCAUAGGAUAUAAGUUCUCGAAAAUAAGGUUUGAGAAAAACAGGUCAUGUGCAGUCAAUCUGCACUUUCCCUCAGACUAUGGGGGUACUUCAGACUGCAUCACUGCAGCGGCAGCUAUCGCAGUCUGAA